AUGCCCUUUGUGUAUAAAACUGGCCACUUGAAGCUUGACUUCGACCCAAUUGGGAGCAUGGUCUACAAGGGCGGAGUGGUUAAAGGAAGACAUAAUAUUCCACAGUUUCUCAAGUACGAAUCCAAUAUAAGUACAAGGCAAACUCAUGUCCUUUUCAUAACUUAUGUUUUCUAUGUACCUAAGGUGUCAUAUGUUGUCUUCUUUGUUUUGAAGAUGAUUUUCUCAAGGUUGCAAGCUUUUAUCUUUUGUUCAACUGACUGA